UUACGGCCGUAUCACGCUGAAACAGCGAUUCUCAUACAAUCACAAAAGUUAAAAAACGUCGAGAAAGAUCAGUACUUGGAUGGGUGACCGCUUGGGAAUACCAGCUGUUGUAAG